GGGGAAUCUUAGACAAUGGGCGCAAGCCUGAUCUAGCCAUGCCGCGUGAUCGAUGAAGGCCCUAGGGUUGUAAAGAUCUUUCAGGUGGGAAGAUAAUGACUGUACCACCAGAAGAAGCCCCGGCUAACUCCGUGCCAGCAGCCGCGGUAAUACGGAGGGGGCUAGCGUUGUUCGGAAUUACUGGGCGUAAAGCGCACGUAGGCGGAUCAGAAAGUCAGAGGUGAAAUCCCAGGGCUCAACCUUGGAACUGCCUUUGAAACUCCUGAUCUUGAGGUCGAGAGAGGUGAGUGGAAUUCCGAGUGUAGAGGUGAAAUUCGUAGAUAUUCGGAGGAACACCAGUGGCGAAGGCGGCUCACUGGCUCGAUACUGACGCUGAGGUGCGAAAGCGUGGGGAGCAAAC
rnacentral:rRNA from 1 species